GAGCCGAUAGAGCUGAGCGUUACACGUACUUUUUUCUCUUCUCUCUCACUCUUCACUAUCCUGUAUAAUUUACAUAUGCAUUUAAUAAAAUGUAUGUUCUGUGCAUUGUCUACCUAGGUGCCUGAGAUGCUGCUGCAGGCAGUUUUUUCAUUGUACUCCACUGUGCUUGUGCACUUGACAAUAAAUUUGUCUUGCAGUGCAAGGCUUGAGCAGAGAACUUGGGCAUUAUGGGAAACAUCAAAGAAAACUCACACAAAAUGCUGGAGCAACUCAGCUUGUCAGGAGCAUCUAUUGAUGACUUAAACAAUAGAGGUGUCAUGCCGAGACCCUUCUUCAGGACUAAUCCUGAAGCCCAAUGAUGCCAGGACCAUUGUUGCCUCUGAUUUCUAGCAUCUGCAGAUUUUCUCAUGUCUGUGAUUAUGGGAAACACAGUCAUUUAUUAUCCAGCUUUAACUACUCUUGGAAAGGUGGCGACAUUACGGUAAAGCAAAGAAAUACAACAAAAUCAGUGAAAAACAACUCAAAGACUGACAAGCAACCAAUGUGCAGAAGAAGACAAGCUGUGCAAAUACAAAUAUACAAACAAACAACGCUGAGAACAUGAUUUGUAGCUUCCUUGAAAGUGAAUCUAUAGGUUGUGUUUGGUGAUCAGUUCAGUGUUGAGGUGAGUGAAGUUAUCCACGCUGGUUCAGGAGCCUGAUGGUUGAAAGGUAAUAACUGUUCCUGAACUUGGUGCUGUUCAAAGUCCCACUUCCCAGCUUUUGAUCCACAGCCUUAUUGGUUACUGCUGUUCAAUCCAUAUAGGUUACUGCUGUACUGUUUGAACAGAUGUGUAAAAACUCAUGAGAGGCACUGGGAAAGGGAACUGAAAACUAGAGGCAUAGGUUAAACGUCAGAGGGGAAAGAUUUGAAAGGAACCUAGGGGGAAACUACUUCAAACAGAAGGUGAUGCAAAAAUUGAAUAAACUGACAGGGAAAUUGUUGAGGCAGGUACAAUAAUGACUUUUAAAAGAUGCUUGGUCAAGUACAUGAAUAGGAAAGGUUUAGAAGGAUAUGGACCACGUAUAGGCAACUGGCACUAGCCUCGAUAGUAUCAUGGUCAGUAUGGACAAGUUGGACCAUUAUUUUAUCUGCCACUGCUCUUCCAGGCCAUGAGUUCUUUACUCUUGCCACUCUCUGGAUGAAAAUGUAUUUCCAAACUGGCCUUGAGUCUCACCACAAGCAAGAGGAAAUAUUUGCAGAUGCUGGAAAUCUGAGCAACACACAAAAUGCUGGAGGAACUCAGCAGGCCAGACAGCAUCUAUGUG